AGUGAACGCUGGCGGUAGGCCUAACACAUGCAAGUCGAACGGCAGCACAGUAAGAGCUUGCUCUUACGGGUGGCGAGUGGCGGACGGGUGAGGAAUACAUCGGAAUCUACUUUUUCGUGGGGGAUAACGUAGGGAAACUUACGCUAAUACCGCAUACGACCUACGGGUGAAAGCAGGGGAUCUUCGGACCUUGCGCGAUUGAAGGAGCCGAUGUCGGAUUAGCGAGUUGGCGGGGUAAAGGCCCACCAAGGCGACGAUCCGUAGCUGGUAUGAGAGGAUGAUCAGCCACAGUGGAACGGAGAAACGGUACAGACACAUAGGGGAGGCAGCAGUGGGGAAUAUUGGACAAUGGGAGCAAGCAUGGUCCAGAAAUACCGCGUGGGUGCAGAAGGUGGUCGGGUUGUAAAGCCGUUUUGUUGGGAAAGAAAAGCAGCAGGUUAAUACCCCGCUGUUCUGACGGUACCCAAAGAAUAAGCACCGGCUAACUUCGUG
rnacentral:rRNA from 1 species